GUCUUGAUCGAGUUUGAUCGAGUUGGUCUGAUCGGCAGUGUGAACCUAGCUUUACAAACAGAUAAACAAAACCUGGAGAACUUUUAUGUAUGUAAUUUGACAAUUAAUAACAAUGAGCUCGAGCAUGACUAGAACUUAAAAUGGUCGUAGUAUGAACGUAGUUAGGUCGUAAGACGAGCGUGAUGAGGACGACAUGAGCGUGCUAGAAUCGUACAAUGGUCUUGAACAGAGUAGUAUAAUUAAUUAUCAAAGGUACCAGGAUUAUAAUUUAGUACGCCAGACGCGCGUUUCGUCUUCAUAAGACUCAUCAGUGACGUUCAUAUCAAAAUAUUUAUAAAACUAAGCAUGUACAAAGUUGAAGAGCUUUGAGGAUCCAAAAUUCCAAAAUGUUGUACUAAAUACAGCUAAGGUAAUCUAUGCCUGGGAUAAAAAAAAAAUAAUCCUUAGUUUUUCGAAAAAUUCAAAGUUUUGUAAACUGGAAAUUUAUAAAAAAAAAAAAUAAUCACAUUAUUGUUAUUC
rnacentral:lncRNA from 1 species